GGUGCUUUGGUCUAGUCGUAUGAUUCGUAAGAAAUGUCUAAUUCCUAGUAUCUACACGUUCUAACAAUAACACAGUCGCUUAGGGUCUACUCUAAGUCAAUUUGCGAGAGGUCGCGAGUUCAAUUCUCGCAAGCGCCC
rnacentral:tRNA from 1 species